rnacentral:rRNA from 1 species
CCUACGGGUGGCAGCAGUGAGGAAUAUUGGUCAAUGGCCGGAAGGCUGAACCAGCCAUGCCGCGUGAAGGUCAGUGCCCUAUGGGCGUUAAACUUCUUUUGUGCGGGAGCAAUAAUGGUCACGUGUGGCCAGACGAGAGUACCGUACGAAUAAGCAUCGGCUAACUCCGUGCCAGCAGCCGCGGUAAUACGUAGGGGGCAAGCAUUAUCCGGAUUUACUGGGUGUAAAGGGAGCGUAGACGGCAGUGCAAGUCCGGAGUGAAAGCCCGGGGCUCAACCCUGGGACUGCUCUGGAAACUGUAAAGCUGGAGUGCGGGAGGGGCAGGCGGAAUUCCUGGUGUAGCGGUGAAAUGCGUAGAUAUCGAGAGGAACACUCGUGGCGAAGGCGGGUUCCUGGACAUUAACUGACGCUGAGGCACGAAGGCCAGGGGAGCGAAAGGGAUUAGAUACCCGGGUAGUC